rnacentral:rRNA from 1 species
CAGGUCACUCCUACGGGAGGCAGCAGUGGGGAAUUUUGGACAAUGGGGGCAACCCUGAUCCAGCAAUGCCGCGUGUGUGAAGAAGGCCUUCGGGUUGUAAAGCACUUUUGUCCGGAAAGAAAACCUCCGUCCUAAUACGGUGGGGGGAUGACGGUACCGGAAGAAUAAGCACCGGCUAACUACGUGCCAGCAGCCGCGGUAAUACGUAGGGUGCAAGCGUUAAUCGGAAUUACUGGGCGUAAAGCGUGCGCAGGCGGUUCGCUAAGACCGAUGUGAAAUCCCCGGGCUUAACCUGGGAACUGCAUUGGUGACUGGCGGGCUAGAGUAUGGCAGAGGGGGGUAGAAUUCCACGUGUAGCAGUGAAAUGCGUAGAGAUGUGGAGGAAUACCGAUGGCGAAGGCAGCCCCCUGGGCCAAUACUGACGCUCAUGCACGAAAGCGUGGGGAGCAAACAGGAUUAGAUACCCUGGUAGUCCACGCCCUAAACGAUGUCAACUAGUUGUCGGGUCUUCAUUGACUUGGUAACGAAGCUAACGCGUGAAGUUGACCGCCUGGGGAGUACGGUCGCAAGAUUAAAACUCAAAGGAAUUGAC